rnacentral:rRNA from 1 species
GAUGAACGCUGGCGGCGUGCCUAACACAUGCAAGUCGAACGGAAAGGCCCUGCUCUUGUGGGGUGCUCGAGUGGCGAACGGGUGAGUAACACGUGAGUAACCUGCCCUUGACUUUGGGAUAACUUCAGGAAAAUGGGGCUAAUACAGGAUAGGAGCUCCUGAUCCGUGGGGGGGGUUGGAAAGUGUCGGCGGUUGGGGCUGGACUCGCGGCUUAUCAGCUUGUUGGGGGGGUUGUGACUUACCAAGGCUUUGACGGGUAGCCGGCCUGAGAGGGGGGACGGCCACAAUGGUACUGAGAGACGGCCCAGACUCCUACGGGAGGCAGCAGUGGGAAAUAUUGCACAAUGGGCGGGAGCCUGAUGCAGCAACGCCGCGUGCGUGAUGACGUCCUUCUGGUUGUAAACCGCUUUCGCCUGUGACGAAGCGUGAGUGACGGUAAUGGGUAAAGAAGCACCGGCUAACUACGUG